GAUGAACGCUGGCGGCGUGCCUAAUACAUGCAAGUCGAGCGAACAGACGAGGAGCUUGCUCCUCUGACGUUAGCGGCGGACGGGUGAGUAACACGUGGAUAACCUACCUAUAAGACUGGGAUAACUUCGGGAAACCGGAGCUAAUACCGGAUAAUAUAUUGAACCGCAUGGUUCAAUAGUGAAAGACGGUUUUGCUGUCACUUAUUGAUGGAUCCGCGCCGCAUUAGCUAGUUGGUAAGGUAACGGCUUACCAAGGCAACGAUGCGUAGCCGACCUGAGAGGGUGAUCGGCCACGCUGGAACUGAGACACGGUCCAGACUCCUACGGGAGGCAGCAGUAGGGAAUCUUCCGCAAUGGGCGAAAGCCUAACGGAGCAACGCCGCGUGAGUGAUGAAGGUCUUCGGAUCGUAAAACUCUGUUAUUAGGGAAGAACAAAUGUGUAAGUAACUAUGCGCGUCUUGACGGUACCUAAUCAGAAAGCCACGGCUAACUACGUG
rnacentral:rRNA from 1 species